ensembl:lncRNA
GAACAGCUUGCUAUUUUGUAUGAAUGAUAAAAUGGUGUGAAUGUUUAAUAAAAUACAUUUGAGUUUGUUAAUGAGGAAUAGAAGAAGCCAUAUGACAUAGGGAGUGAGUUAUGAAAACAAAAAAAGUGAUUAAAGUAGUUUUAAAAAAUAACAAUGACUUAGGAGUGCUCGUGUACUGAGUAAACAACGCUAGUGAUCACUGUAGACAGAAAUAAAAUAAUUUAAGAAGGAGAUAAUGUUUAAACAUAUGUUUCUCUGGUUACGACAUCUUCUUGAGAUGACUCAAUAUGCAAAUUAGUUGGAGUGAGUGGUGACGACGAAGUUUCCUGUGUGUGUGACUUUCAGAAAAGGAAGCAUAGCAGAGACGAGAAGUGCAGACUUGGGUAGGAAUUUAGAGGUUAGUGAUUAUAUGAUGUCGUAAGGGGUCUUAUGCUGAAUUUAAGUAUGUUAAAGAGCAUAAGGGGGUGAAUUUUGUGUGCAAAUUGUGUGGUUUUAAUGAGAUUUUUGGUGUACUGAGGAGGUGCGAAUUAUGUGGUGGCAAAACUUUUGUGUUUGGGGUUGUUGAUGGGUGGAUUCUGUCAGUAAGGGUUGGGUUGUUGCUGUUUUUGUUUUUAAUAGAGGGAGUUUUAGGAAACAUGGACAUGUCUGAGGGGCCCAUUAUUUUAUAACAGUGCACUUAAAGAAAACCUGUCAGGUGAUUUUGUUUUGUGUUUUGUGAGCUAAUAAUCAGCUCUAUUUUUUCUCAUUUUUGUUCUAAGCAGGCCUGCAACAGCGCUGACAGAUUCUCGGGAAGUGCAAACAUAAGGGCUUUCCAGAUUGGCUUUUACCAGAGAAAAUUUCUGUUUUGUAAACUGGGGUUAGAUUAUGGGGUUAUAGUAUAUUGUUGUGAGGAUGCCAAAUAAAAGGGAAACAUUUUUGAUGUAACUCAGUUACCAUUAAUUAGAGGAACACAUGACUGAUAAUUGUUCUGUUUUAAGUUUAUUUUUAUGACAUAGAUGGGAUCAUGAGUGGGAAAACUGAGCAUUUUAAGUUUGUAUUGUGACACAUUUCAUGUGUCAAAAUAAAGGGGGAAUUUGGGGAAUUUGGGGUUUAAUAAUUUAGGAUCAUUUUAGGACUUUUUUGGUUCUUAUUAUGUGCAAUUAUGUUUGGGGGUUUGUUGAUCAUUUGGGUAUGGUAAAACUGAAACUGUUAUUUUAAGGUUAAAGGGUUAAAGUGAACUGAAUCCUGUUUAGAAGAUACAAUGUUUUAAAAGCUGUGAAUAAAUCUUAGGGGGAAAAUUAGUGAGGGUAGAACAGGCUUGAUUUCUUUUUUUGAUUUCUAGAAGAAGUGGUUAUAAUGUAGGCUUACACAUACAGAUAUUACAUAGAUUUAUUUUUAGGAUAAAGGGGAGAGCUUAUACAUAGAAGUGAUUUUUAUACAUAUUGCAUGUGCCUUUGGCUAGCGCUAUGAUUAGCCAAUCUACUGUGAGGAUGAAAUAUGAGUUCAUGAAGGAUUGCACACGCUUACAGACACAGGGUUAAGAAAC